rnacentral:rRNA from 1 species
UACGAAGGGGGCUAGCGUUGCUCGGAAUUACUGGGCGUAAAGGGCGCGUAGGCGGAUACUUAAGCUGGGGGUGAAAUCCCGGGGCUCAACCUCGGAAUUGCCUUCAAAACUGGGUAUCUUGAGUUCGGGAGAGGUGAGUGGAACUCCGAGUGUAGAGGUGAAAUUCGUAGAUAUUCGGAAGAACACCAGUGGCGAAGGCGACUCACUGGCCCGAUACUGACGCUGAGGCGCGAAAGCGUGGGGAGCAAACAGG